GGAAAUAGUAAAUUACAGUCCACAACUUCAAAGGGUCAAGAGCAGGUCCAAGUUUGGAAGUUGCAGUUAGAGUGGAACCACAAAACUCUCUCUCUUCACUUAUGCACAUGGUAACUAGGAAGCUGUCUUGUAGUGGUAUUUGUAAUUCCAUUUGCACAGAUCUUGUUGACAGGCAUGUGAAGAGUACUGCUCUGCCCUUUUCUUUUAGGUCCAAUGGGGGUGGCGUGCAUGUGCCUCUUUUCAUGCCUUUUUAACCCUUCAGUUAGCCAUUUUCUCUCCAGUUUUAUACCUAUAAUACCCAAAUCAUUUCUUGGAAGCGCCAAUACUCAGCAUAAACAAUUCUCCCCCUCCACAAAAUAUCAUUUAAUUUUUACUUUUUUUAAUAAUUUUUUCGCAUAAUACUAACAUUUAUGCCGCAAAUCUUCGAGGGUCAAGUUCAAAUCUCUGUUGAAGCGAAGUGGUUGGCUCAGUUUAAUUUUUUUUGGGUUAAAAUAUUUUUGCUCAUUUAAUUUCUCUGUAACGCUUUUAUUUACCCCAGGGACUAGAGUAGGGUCUCUUCCUUGCAGGGAUUAUGGGUUGGCCUAUCUACCUAUUCCCUAUCUCCUCCCUCGAUGUACACGUAUGCUUACUGGUUCAAAGGCCUAUAUAUACCUAUGCACGCUUCUGAGCAGCUUCAGCUCUCGGUGGAGUGGACUUAGUUUUCUGGAAGCAUCAAAGGUUGUUUUCAUGGUGGUUUUUGUAAUAUUUCUCUUGCUGCUCUGUCUCUCCUCUGCUUUGUUGAGAUGGAAUGAGGUGAGAUACAGGAAGAAAGGCUUGCCUCCAGGUACUAUGGGUUGGCCAGUUUUUGGAGAGACUACUGAGUUUUUAAAGCAAGGUCCAAACUUCAUGAAAAACCAGAGAGCAAGGUAUGGCAGUUUUUUCAAAUCCCACAUUCUUGGGUGUCCUACCAUUGUUUCCAUGGAUCCAGAGCUGAAUAAAUACAUCCUCAUGAAUGAGGCAAAAGGGCUUGUUCCUGGUUACCCUCAGUCCAUGCUUGACAUUUUGGGCAAAUGCAACAUUGCAGCAGUUCAUGGCUCCACUCACAAGUACAUGAGAGGGGCACUUCUUAGCCUCAUUAGCCCCACCAUGAUCAGAGAACAACUUUUGCCUACAAUUGAUGUGUUUAUGAGAACCCACCUCAGCAAUUGGGAUAACAAAGUUAUUGACAUCCAACAGAAAACCAAAGAGAUGGCACUUCUCUCGUCGCUCAAGCAAAUUGCUGGCAGUGAUUCUAGCUCAAUAUCUCAAGCUUUUAUGCCUGAGUUUUUCAAGCUGGUUUUAGGCACCCUUUCAUUGCCAAUUGACCUUCCUGGCACAAAUUAUCGUCGCGGACUCCAGGCCAGGAAGAAUAUUGUGAGCAUGUUGAGACAACUAGUAGAAGAACGAAGAGCAUCGAAAGAAACCCACCAGGACGUGCUUGGUUGCCUGAUGAAAAGUGAAGAAAGUAGAUACAAAUUAACUGAUGAAGAAAUAAUUGAUCAAAUAAUCACCAUUUUAUACUCUGGUUAUGAAACUGUUUCUACUACUUCAAUGAUGGCAGUAAAAUACUUGCAUGAUCACCCCAGAGUUCUUCAAGAACUAAGAGUAAGUUGAGAGAGAGAGAGAAAAAAGAAUCUUGGUUUUUAUUAAUACUGUUUACACGACGGUGGCAUUGAUUGAAUGUUGAAUAUAUGCAGAAAGAGCAUUUAGCAAUUAAAGAAAAGAAAAGGCCUGAGGAUCCAAUUAACUUGACUGACCUUAAAUCUAUGUGUUUUACUCGUGCGGUAAGAGAUCUAGAAUUCUUGAGCAUAUUCAAAUUUUCUGAUUGGUUGAUAAAGAAAAGUUGAAUAUGAUUUUGAUCUGUCAUGUUUUUUGCCGUGCAGGUGAUUUUUGAGACCUCAAGACUGGCUACAAUUGUUAAUGGGGUUUUGAGGAAGACUACUAAAGAAAUGGAACUAAAUGGAUUUGUGAUUCCAAAAGGGUGGAGAAUCUAUGUCUAUACUAGGGAGAUAAACUAUGAUCCCUUUUUAUAUCUAGAGCCAUUAUCCUUCAACCCAUGGAGAUGGCUGGUUAGUGACUCUUAAUCAUUAUCUCUUUGCCUAUUUAUCCAUGGUUUCCUUCCAAGUGACUAAUGUAGCUUUGUCUGCCAAUUGUAGGAUAAGAGCCGCUUGGAGUCUCAAAACUAUCUUUUCAUUUUUGGAGGAGGUACCAGGCAGUGUCCUGGAAAGGAACUAGGAAUAGCAGAAAUUUCUACUUUCCUUCACUACUUUGUAACUAGAUACAGGUAAAUUACAGAACCCAUUAAAAUUUUAAUCCCCCCUUGAUGGGUAUCAAAUGAACAGGACUAAUGUGGGUUAUUGUUGUACUUGCAGAUGGGAAGAAGUUGGGGGAGACAGUCUAAUGAAAUUUCCAAGAGUUGAAGCACCAAAUGGGCUGCACAUCAGGGUCUCAUCUUGCUAACUAAACUAUGAAUGUACAUAAGAAGAGAUAAAUAGCAAAUAUCGGAAACAGGGACAAGGAUGUAAAAUGAUCCUUCUAACAUAGUAGAAAGUGAAUGACAUCGAACAUUUCCAUCUUCGGCUAUAAAAAGCUUGUAAUUUUCUUCUCCUCCUUCUUCUUCGUUAGUAUAUUAAAUGAUAGUGCAAGAGAUUACAUGAGAUUAUUUUUCCUCCAAAGGACCACACAAUCCUUGGGUUCGUGCCUUGUAGUCCAACAAAACCCACAAACAAGUAUAGUGGGCUUGAUUUUAUGGCUGAAUCCACUAGAUUUAGCCCAAAUUGUUGCAGGACGUGAAUUUAAGGUUUAUGAACAGAGAGAAGUAUUAGUAAAAGUAUACCAUCUUGUUUCUAUAA
rnacentral:misc_RNA from 1 species